rnacentral:tRNA from 1 species
GGGGACGUGGUGUAGCCCGGAUAACACGCUGCCCUGUCACGGCAGAGAUCGUGGGUUCAAAUCCCAUCGUCCCCG